rnacentral:lncRNA from 1 species
GUUUCUUAAAUGUAUGAAGUUUCUCUUUCAAUUUAGAAGUUUGGGUCAUUAUUUCUUCAAAUAUUUUUUCUGCCAGUUUGUCUUCUUCCUCUACUGCAACUCCCAGAAAUAAGCUUGAGUCUCGCUCUGUCAUCCAGGCUGGAGCACAGUGGCGCAAUCUCAGCUCAUUCAACCUCCACCUCCUCGGGUUCCAGCAAUUCUCUUGCCUCAGCCUCCGGAGUAGCUGGAACUACAGGUGCCCACC